UCCUCAGCUAAAAAAUUCUUUGGUUCUCUGUUACUACAUCUCCAUAGGUUCUAGAGAACACACUUAUUUGUUAGCAACAACUUCUGUUUCUUUCGUCAGUCUUCUGUGCUUUAUUUCUGUGUGUGCUGCAGUGCAGCAGAAAUUCCUGGCAAGAUCAAAAUAGUCUAAAGGUAGAGUUUUCAAUAGGAAAUACUGUAAACACAAAGCCAAUUUUUAUGUUAUCACUAAAUCAACAAAUUCCAAAUGUGUAGUUCUAGCCCUGGGCAAAACAGAUACCUCACGGUAUUGGUUUUUCCAUGGCCAAGUGCAUGCUUUGCUUCAAGAGAGGUAGGAGUGUUUUCCAGCCACAAAAUCCUAAGCAAAUUUGCUGUCACAGACUCAGGAUAAAGCCUGCACCGAUUCUGGAUCACAGGGAAGCCAGUGGUGCAGUUGGCUCUUCAUCCACUAGAUGGAGGUAGAGGAGCACAGAAAAACAUCACCUUAGGCUGUUAAUCAGGUUGACUGUUUAGACUCUAAGAGGGAAGCUUAUCUGUCACUAGAUAAGAUCCACAGGUAAAAUUGAUGAAUUUCAAACCUUUGAAAACUAGUGGAAAACGUUGGCUUGAGGUAUAAGCUAAAGUAUAAGUGCUAAUAUCUUUCAAUUAUAUGUAAAAAUUAUAUUCCUCCAUCGCCCUGUUUUGUCUUGAUUUGAGCAACUUUCAGCUUUUCACAGUUGGAUGAACUUCACCUUCAGCCCACACCAGCCCCACACCCCAAGGAAGUCCUGCAAUGCAAGGGAUAGCCGCUGCCUCUGUGCAGGUGCAUUUGAUUAAUUUCAUUAGUGGAGUUGUCCUUGCGUAUUGGAACAACUGGCACUUCCGGUCUCUAGGAGGGAUUAGUUUUUGCCUCUUGAGAAGAGUCCUAUGGUAAGGAGUUCAUCAAACAGGAAAAGGAUUUAAAUGCUGGUUCAGGCAACAAAUGACAAUGUUAUUGGUGUACUGACCAAGACGAAAUUCAGAUGGUCACCCAUAAUUGGUAAGACGCUUGAGCACUAACUAGUAUCCCGAUUUCCUUCCUUCCUUCUUCUCCCUCUCUCCUGCUCGUUCUCUCCCACUCCCUCUCUUUCUCUCCCUGACUGUUUCUCUCUUCAUUUCUCUCACUCUCUCCCUUUCUCUCUUCCUCUUCUUCACUGUCCAGAAGAUUCUGAAUUUGGAAACUGAAGGGUACCCUUUAAGCUUUGGAUUCUCUGUUUUCUCUCUGGUUUUACUUUGCCUAGGAUUUUACUCAGUCCUUUGUUUAACUCUACCUGGUAAUGGAAGCAUUGGUACCCAAUCCUCUGUCCUCUGCCUGGAGGCUACCAUCCUAUGAACACAAGUAGCUGCCCUAAAUACCACUGCCAUAUCUCAUCCACAAUUCUUUGCCCCUAGAAUGUCUCUCUUAAUGUGGGGCCAUUGUCUGGGUCACACCUGAACCUGUUAAUGAAAUCAACACCCCUGGGAGUGGGGGAGGAAGGAAAGGAGAGGAGACAGGUAGAGGCUGAGACAUAGCCUCAGGUGGGACUCUGUUUCAGGGAAGACAAUUUUUUGUGCCUUUUUAUUUUAAAAAUGUGUGUGAAGUUUGCAUGAAAUUGAUAUGCAUUCCUGUUUUAGUAUAUUGAAGUUAUUUCAUUACUUUGUGCAAAUUUUUUUUAGGAAGAACAAUUGAGUCCUUCUGGCCGCAUCAGUGCUAGUAAAUGCUGAUUACUUCUAGCAUUUGAAUUUUUCAGUUAAACACAGACAGGAGCAGUGGUAAAGACAGUAGGCUUUGGAGUACGACUGAACUAGGUUUAAUCCCAACUCCUCCAGUUUAGUAAGUGUAUCCAUAGGCACAAGCAGGCAUCUCUCAGUCUCUUUUUUUUUUUUAAUCCAUGAAUAGCAAUAAUUGUUACCACAAUGGAUUGAAGAUUAAGUGAUAGAAUGUGCACAAAAGGAUAGAUAGUAUAUAAACAGUAUAGAACCAGCUACAGAGUAAGCACGCUUAAUAAACAUCAUCAUUGUUAGGAACAAGCCAUUUGGAUACUACACUGAACCAUCCAUUUGUUCUCAUUCGAUGCAUAUGAACUCAGUCUGGCCUUUUCAAUAGUACCAAGUUCAAUAUGGCUUUCUGUAAUGUAAAGACAACCUAGAAAACAUCAGAGUUGCUUUAAUGUUGUUGCUUGCAGUUUGUGCCUCUUUCAGUAAAGCAACUGAUAUAAAUAAAACAUCAUCAAUUUUGGAGAAAUGGAGUGAAAAUGGGGGGGAGAACAGGGCUUAUUUGUUACUCCCAUAACUUAACUUCUUGGCUCUGGAAUGAUCAGGAGAUUUGGCAGUUGGCAGCUAUUUGAUGCCAUGAGAUUUUUAGGAACCUGGGCAAGAGAGCAUUUCCGGGAAGACAGAGGAGGUGUAGUUGGCUCUGGCUGCAGAACUCAGUUUUUAAGUUUGGUUUUUAAUCUCCUGAAUUGACUAUGUUCCUUUUAUCACUCUUUGCUCCCAAACAAAGCAGAAUUGGAAGCCAAAUAGGGCCGAGGGGCCAGCUAAUUCUUCAUGCUGUCACAAUAGGUUUUGGAAGAGGACCUGAGAAAUGGUCAUCUUAAAUGGUCUCUUGAAUGAAAUAUUAAUAUAGGGGAAGUAGGGAAAUAUUGUUUGGGCUGCAACCUGGUUCUAGUUUGUGCUACAUGGCAUCGAGAGAUACUGCCUACAUCAAUCGCAAGUAUCACCUAGAUACAUAGUAUGUUUAAAGCAUUGCCUUAGAUUCACUGGGCCAUAAAGAAAUUGAAAAUCCUGGCCUGGCAAUUAAGUACUUUACAUGUGAGUGGGAGAAACAACAUAGACUCCUUGCAACACUAUACUUACAAAAUCACUAAUGUAGACUCCCUUCACACAAGAAUCUCUUAAACAACUAAUUCAACACACGAAGUAUAUACAGGGUCCGAAGCCCAUGGUGUGGAUUUGAUUGAACAAGAUAUAGCUGUUGCACUUAAUGACCUCACAGUCUAGUUGGAGAGAGAUGCAUACGGAUGUCUGUGAUGCAACCACUAAGAGAAAGUGCCAGGUCUGCCUGGAGUCAGGAGGGUCUUUAAUCUCAGUGCCUGGGUGGAGUCAUGUCUUUGGAAGGGAUGUGGUUGUUACAAGCAGAAUGGAUUGGGACAUUUCUGGUUUUUGAGGACUGAGCCUGGUCAUGGAAAUGGAAUGAUGACUGCUAAAGUCAUUUUAAAGGAAGACUUGCAGAUCUCUGUGACUUACUCGGUAAGAAUUCAAGGAGAAAAAGAGGUUCACGAUGAUUCUAAGGCACAGGGCUGGGUACCCAGCAGAAUGGUGGUGUGUUGCAGCCACAGAAAAAGAAUGGAGUGCCCAACAAAUUUUGGCUUAGAGAGUUUACAGGUUGACUCUGAGAUGUAAUUCCUAAGUAUAUAUCAAGGAAUAUAUCAGGAGCUAAGGCUGUUGGAAAUUUAUUAGUAGGUCUAUAUUCUCAGUAUCCAUUGAUAAUGUCUAGCAUGUUUAAAUUUGUAAUAUUAAAGUAUACUUGGGAAAGGUGAUCAUAAUAUAUUAGAAAGCAAGUUAGAUUAAAUUAAAGAUAUUUUGCAAUAUGUCCUAACAGACAUAUAAAUCAAGGAGAUGUGGAAAUUCUAAUUAAGUGAACUGAGAAAAGUUAAAAAUAAUUAAAUACUCCUCAGGAGUCUUUUGUGAUAGCAAUCAUUAAUUUUCCCCAAUUUUCUUGAUUUUGUUUCUUGAAAGUCUCUCAAAUCUGUCUCCUUGCCUUUAAUGAUAUUUCUGUGUUAUACUUCAGGUUUUCUUUCCCCAUCUUCUAGGUUAAUAAGAGACUGGUAAAUUUCUUUGCUUUCAACUCAAUACUCCAGUCCAUUUUCCUCACUGUUACAUCAGUGAUGGUUCUAGAGGUCUAGUGAUGACAUAACCAUAUCAUAUCCUUUGUUUAGAUUCACCCAUGGUUCUCUUUCUUCUAUAGCCUCUUAUCUCUUAGAUUCUAAGGUCUGCACUUUCCCAGCUGAUUGGAUCUCACACAGUUGUAUACACACUGAUCUCCCCACACUAAGGUGUGUCCUUUUUGAGGCCAGGGAUAUUGUCUUAUUCACUUCCGUAUUUCCUGAGUCAAGCACCAUAUAUUUCUCCUACUAGGUUGCCUAUAAACAUGGAUUUGUUAUGGACUUAAUUGAGUUCCCACAAAAAUAUGUUGAAGUCCUCACUUCAUCUGGAGACAGGAUAUUUAAGGAGAGAGAAAAGGCCAUGUGAGGACAUUCAGAGGCUGUUGUCUGCAAGUGGAGGAACCUCACAAGAAACCAACCCUGCUGGUGCCUUGAUUGUGGACUUGCAGACUCCAGAACUGCUAGUCCAUGGAGAAGCUCCGGGCAAUUUGACAAUGGAGAGAAUUAGAAAAUGUCCCAGAACUAUAACCCACCAUAAUGGAAAUUGAAGAAGAAUCUUGGAUUCUAGGGAGAAGUGAACAAAAAGAAGCCCUGGCACAUGUGCAGAAAUAAAGACGUACGUGAGGAUGUUCACCACAAUAUUGUUGGUGACAGCAAAGGCGGGAAACAAACUAAAUGUCUAUGAAAUGUAUCAAAGUGCUUUACAAAGUGUAAAUAUGACUCCUGGACAUCUGGGGAUAUUCUGCAUGUGAAAACAUCAUAAAGAGAAGUAGAAUCACUACUUUGACACACCUAUGGAUAUAAAAAGGAUCAAUUUUUGUAUGUGUUCCAUGGGCUUGGAAAAAAAUAUGCAUUCUCUUUUUGGAAGAUGUAGAAUUCAAUAAAUCAUUCAUUCAUUCACUCAGUGUGUCUCCCCUUAAUUUGUGAAUUUCUCUUUUUGGGGAUAAUCAAGAGGUCCUUGGGGGCUGCAAGAAAUCUUCUCAGUGGAAUAUGUGGAUUCGUUGUGCUUCAUUAUCAAUUACCAUCAUUCUAAAUAAGGUAAUAAUAAAUUAGUCUUCCCUUCAGAAUUCAUGUCCAAAAAUAGUCAAUAAUAAUUGGUUGUCUAUUCGGAAUAAAAUACGGUAACAAAAUCUGUAUAUGUUAGACUGGAAUUAGAUAAUAAAUAUGUGUAUUAGCAUAGGUUAAUAAUUUGUAGAUGACAUGUAAGCAUGUAAGGAAAUUCUGGGACACAAUAUUCAGAGUUAAGAUCUGCUUGACUUGAGAUGUAACUGAAUAAAGUUGGUAUAGGACUCAAUCUGACUUAUUGAUAUGAUGUUUGCCGUUAUUUUAUUUUUGCAUUAAAAUGAUUUGGGGAAGCUGAGCUUAUUAUUAUUAAUAUAUUUAUGAUAAAGUUGGUUGUAAUAAUUUAUAUUAUUUGGGAAUAAAGUGGUUAGGAUCUGGAAGAGGACUCUGGUUGUAGGAUUUUAAGAAACAUCAAUCAGACAUCAAUGUUUGGCAGCAUGAGAUGUCCUUUUCAAUAGACAACUGGUAAAAUUCCUAUAACACUCCACAAGUUGUUCUAACCAACAUAUCAAGAUGCUGGAAAAUUUCACACAUCUGUAUAUCUAAAGAUGGGUGGCCUGUAGCACAUAGAGGAGGAAAAACCAAGACAGCAGAGGUAGUGCCUAUGAUCCUGCCUCUCUGCCACAACAUCUAAGACUGCAGGCUCAGAGAACCCAGAAGCAGAAGAGGAGGCUAUACACACAACUCCAGUUUCCUGGCCAUGGCAGUACACACAGCCACAGGGAAGUAGACAGCAGCCUCAGGGCUGGUGACUCUGUCCCUUCAGCUGUGGAAGCACCCAUGACCCUCUCCUCUGAAUCCACAGUGGUGGCACCUGUGAACCUGACAACCCCAGAGGUAACAGAGGCAACCCAAGAUCCUGGCUUUACCACCCCCUGACAGUGGCAGAGACUACAACCCCAGACAUGAUGGAAGCACCCACCAUCUCAGUGCCCCAGGCAGUAAUGCAAGCUAUAGCUGGGACACUGGCAGCAGCAAAGCAAGAGCAAACCAGGAGACAUAAGCAGUAACAAUGAGGACACCAGGCAGCACCUCUAGCAGAGGUGGUAGAGGAUGGAAAGUGCUGAUUUCAACUAUAACCAGAGACAGGUUAAGCAAGAGAAACCAAAAAUCUGUGAUAUAAUGCUACCCAUUGGAAAAAAGAAAACAAAAACAAGAGAAAAACCUCUAAUUACUAGUGCUGAGUUGUUAGAAUCAAAAUGAUUCUAACGAAGAAAUGUGUUUGUUACUUCAAAUGCGCAGAUAGAGAAAUAAUCAUCAAGCACCUUGAAAAACAUGGUAACAAUGUAUCACAAAAAGUAAAUAACAAAACUCCCAUAAAACCAAACUGAAAGCUAUGGAGUAUUGUGAUUGAACUAAUAGAGAAUUCAAAAUAGCUGUCAUGGUCAUGUCUUAGUGAGCUACAGGAAACUUGGAAAGGCAGUUCAGUGAGUUUAGGAAUAAAAUUAAUGAACUGACAUUCUAAAGAAAUUGACAUUCUAAAGAAAGAACAAAACUGAAAUUCUGGAACUGAAAAAUUCAAUAAAUGAGAUUAAGAACACAUUAGAAAUCAAUGGAAAUAGAGAAGAUCAUACGCAAGAGAGAAUUAGUAAGAUCUCUAAUAGAUUUAUAAAAAAUGACAUAGGUAGAAGAGGAGAGAGAACUAAGUUCUAAAACAAAUUGGGGAAAUUCUAUAGAACUAUCUAGCUUCAUUAGGAAUGGCAACAUAAGAAUAUUUGGUAUCCCAGAAGGAGAAGAGAGGGAGAAAGGAACAGAGAGUUUAUUUAAAUAAUAGCUGAAAACUUCCAAAACCUGUGGAAAGAACUGAAUAUACAAAUCCAUAAAGCUAAGAUAACACCUAAUUAUCUCAACACAAAAAGACUUUCUCCAAGAAACAUUGUAUUAAAACUUUCAAAAGUCAAUUAUUAACCUCAAAUUCUUGCAAGUCUGUUCUCCAUGUCCAUAAUUUUCUUUUCUGUGGAAGGGUUUGUUUAUGCCAUAUAUUAGA